ACGAUCUCAGCUUACUGCAGCCUCCACCUCAUUGGUUCAAGCAAUUCUUCUGCCUCAGCCUCCCGAGUAGCUGGGACUACAGUUAGUAGAGAUGGGGUUUCACCAUAUUGGCCAGGUUGGUCUCAAACUCCUGACUUCAUGAUCCGCCCACCUGGGCCUCCCAAAGUGCUGGGAUUACAGGUGUGAGCCACAGCCCCUGGCCCUGGUUAUGCAUAUUUUUAAGGCUAAAAAGUGCCACUAGUAGGGCCCUGCCUCAAAAGCAUUUUUCAAAUUUCCGCUCCCCAUCUUAGUGUGUGCAAGGGCCCAUUUUGCCAUCUGCCUCCCUCCAACAUAGGGUUUGGUCAUUUUCCAAAAUCUUUUGUUGCUUUAAUUUGUGUUUCUUUAAUUAGAAAAUUUGACUUUUUUUCCAUAUAUUUUGAGCCAUUUAUGUAACUCCUUUUCUUGAGUUUCCUAUUUAUAUCCUUCGCUUAUCUUUCUGUUGAGUUUUCCUCUUUUGUUAAAACAUAUGUAGAUUUCAUGGUUACUACUGUAUGAAAACUUUGUAAAUUCAGCCGUGAGUUCUUUGCUGACUGAAGAGUUCUGUGCUUUUUGUUUUAUUUUGUUUUAAUUUCCAAAUAGCAUUUCCUUUAUUGGAUUUGUAAUUAAUUUUUCAAGUUAUGUCUUCUAGAAAAAGAGCAGGACCUGGAAGCAGGAGAGUUGAAAGGUCAAGAGCACAUGCUUUGGGGUCAGGCAGACCUGCUUCUGAGUCCUGGCUCUGCUAGGGGACUUUGGUAGGGGCGGGGGGCCCACGUCACUGGGUGUCCGUUUUCUCAUCUGUAAAGUAGGAGAUAAUAGUAGGGUCCUGGUGAAGACUAAAUGAGACACUGUGUGUAAAGGGCCUGCUGCAUGGCCCUUAGUCAGCGUUGCUUGCGACGACGGUUGUUUCGUUAUUGUCACUCAGUCGCCUGAGGGGAACAUUCAGAGAGACUUAUCGGCAGGACGUGUACAAAGAGGACAGAAGAGCAGAUGCAGCCUCCAAGAAUGAGCUGCUGAGGACGAGAGGUGGGUUUCUCAGGGAAGCUUGAGGGUGGGUCAGGUCCGUGGCUUGUUGUGCGGUGUCUAACAUUGGCAUGCUGCAAUGAUCCUUCUAGACGGUUAGUCACAGGACUGACACUGCUCUCAACCCUGCUAGGCUUGAAGUUAGGGUGUCUGAGUGGAUACACAGUUGUCAUUUUGAUGGGUUCACUUUCUAUGCUGCACAGAUGACAUUUUCCUUUGGCGACAUUCAACAGCUUCUUAAGGUUCCUAGACGUAGAUCUGCAGCUGUGGACUUGGAGUUUUAACCUAAGUCAAUGAGCACUUAUGGGCCUCUAAGUGGGGAAUGAACUUGGAAAACACUGAACCUAGUGUGCAGCACAUAGUAGGUACUCAUCUGCAAGCUACCUCCCUUUCUCCCUCCCUCUCUCCCUCCUCACCCUCUUCCUCAGGGAUGCAGCCAAUGACCUGAAAGAGCGUGAGCCAACGUCUGUCCAAGCUCUGGUCCUGCUUCGUGCCUGCCCUGUGAUACUGGGCAAGUUGCUCAUCCCUGGACUUCUUUCUCCUCCAUAAAACACGGCUUUGGGAGCAACUUGCUCUCCAAGGGCCAUUCCAACUCUAACAUUAUAAUUUUAUCAUAUGGGAUUUGGCAUAAUUGGUUAUCUCUGAACACUUACACUUUUUUUUUUUUUUUGAGAUGGAUUCUUGCUCUGUUGCCCAGGCUGGAGUGCAGUGGUGCAAUCUCAGCUCACUGCAAGCCCCACCUCCCGGGUUCACGCCAUUCUCCUGCCUCAGCUUCCCGAGUAGCUGGGACUACAGGCGCCCUCCACCAGGCCCAGCUAAUUUUUUUUUGUAUUUUUAGUAGAGACAGGGUUUCACCAUGUUAGCCAGGAUGGUCUUGAUCUCCUGACCUCGUGAUCCGCCCACCUCGGCCUCCCAAAGUGCUGGAACACUUAUACUUUUAAGGUAUUUGUACACAUACACGAAGCAAAACAAGAGGCAGGAGGUGCAAACAGCCCCACGAACAAAUGGUCCAGGGUGUUUAGGAGAAACCCCGCACCUUGAACCUCUCUUCUCACCCAACCUGCUUUCCAGACCUUCCUUCCCUCCUGGCUAAAUGCCCUGUAGAAGCACUAAUGUGUCUAUGUGCCUCUGGAAGCCAGGCUUUCCCUGGAAGCACAGCUGUAGUAGCUGACUACUCAUAAGACCCUAACUAUGCUGAUGUUGAUGGAAAGGGCUGAAUUCUUUGAAGCCUCAUGGUGGAAAUUUAAAGAAAAUAAUGUGAGAGCGUCACAGACAACUGCACAUUCACCACCACAAAUGGUGCCAUCCCAGAGACAAAUAUGUAAUAGUUCAGAACUUGGGAAAAUGGCCCAGGAUCGAGCCAUGCUAAGAAUGGGAGCAAUUUGGCUGAUACAUGGCUGCCCUGUGCUCCAGCAGGGGAAAAAAAAGGUUCUAAUUACCCAGCCGCAAUCCUGUAUUUAGAUGUAAAAGGGAGGAAAUAGCUGAGCUCUGUUCUAGUCACAGAUAUGCCAAACGGGUCAAGAGAAAAGCCUUCUGCCCAGACCACUGCUGAGCCCACGGCUGGCCUGGGCCCAGGCUACUCAGCCGAUGAGCUUCAGAUGGACCUCCAGAAGGCCACAGCGGCCCCACUUUAUCCUCUGCCUAUUUUGCCAGGACAUCAGCCUCAGACAAUUUCCUCCUCAAAGUUUCUUCACUCUCUUUGGUGUUCUGUUUCAUGCAAAUCUGUUGGGGAUGGGAGGAAUUAAGGACAGCGAGAUCAAAUGACAACCCCUGCCUCCUCAGUGAUUAAAAAAAAUCAGAGCUCACCCAUAUGGCAGCGGCAUUUCUGACCUGGUCCAGCAUUCCUCCCUCACCCUGUGCUUUCUGAAACUCUCAUGCAUCUUCCGAAUGUCACCUGCUGCCAUGAGGUCAGCAUGGACGAGGGUCAGCGUGGAUCUCCAGUUCUACUAGGCUGCCAAAGUAGCAGAGACAAGCUUCAAUCCGAAGAUAUUUACGACCUGACAAAUACCCCAUCUCAAGAACUUACAGAAACCUCAGCAUGGACAGCCUGGAGUGAAAGGAUGCUUACUUCCUAGGAAGGGCAUUUCUGCUUGGGAAAUGCUCAGCUGUGCCUCAGUUUCCCUUAGUCUUCCUCUGAGCUGCAGGUAAUUGAGACUGAGAGGCUUUCCACACUUCCCAGAAGGGGCAGACUUGAUGGUGCUUCCUAUCUCCACGCAAGAGCAACUAUUGUGGAUCCUCACCUCCGACAGUGCUGAUGGAAACACCCACAACUGCUCGCAGCGGGUCUGGGCUUUCCUAGUCAAUCAUUUUACUUUCAGGGCGUAGAGGUAGGAGAAUGAAACAGAUUGCACAGCACUGGUGAAAAGAAAAGGAGAAAUUCAGGGAGGAGGAAUGAGGGAUCCUCUUUCUUGUGUGUGGGUGUUAGCUUGCCUCCCAACCACACUGACACUUGCUGUGCCAUUGAUUUGACUUUUCUCCUAUCUUAACAAUAACAAAUCAUUAAAAAAUCAGUUUAUCAAAAUAUAAAAUGGAAAUACAUGUGCUUGUGGUAUUUUCCCCUUCCCACAGCCUAGCAAAGCAAAUCCCAUCUCUGGUCACUGUCCCCCUGCCCUUCCUUCGUUGGGAGCUCCUGGGUCUGCCAUCUUGGUUCCUGAGCUUCUUCUCUUCUGACAAAACAUGAUUCUGCUCGGGUUCAUGUUAUUCUCCUGCCUCAGCCUCCCGAGUAGCUGGGACUACAGGCGCCCGCCACCAGGCCUGGCUAAUUUUUUGUAUUUUUAGUAGAGACGGGAUUUCACCGUGUUAGCCAGGAUGGUCUCGAUCUCCUGACCUCGUGAUCUGCCCGCCUGGGCCUCCCAAAGUGCUGAGAUUACAGGCAUGAGCCACCAGGCCCGGCAAAGCUGAUUUAUUAAAUACUUAAUUGCAUUUAGAAAGGAGCAGGAAAAUUGUUUAUAGGGGAAAAAGAAGAGAUUGAGAGUGGGAGUGGGAAGAGAAGGGAGGGAGUGACAGGCCAACCGGAGUUGGGUUCAGAGAGAGUUUCUCUUUUGUGCUGAGGUGAGAAAUUGAGAACGAAAGAGAGGCACUGUUUUUUUUUUUAGACGGAGUCUCGCUCUGUCACCCAGGCUGGAGGAAAGAGAGGCACUUUAAGGUGGCUUUGGGAUGUGAGAGUCGUGAAGAGCCACCGUAGUAGGAAAACAGGAUGUAUGGGUUGUGAACCUCUCCUUCAACAGUCUGUGAGGGUUCUCAGUAAAGAUGUGGAAAGAAAACUCAACCUCUGACCAAUAACGCUCAUCAAAAGCCACCUCCAGAAAAAUCUUUAAAAUGAUUUCCUGGCAACCUCCCAUGUCUCUGAAUUCCCAGUAGGUUAAGUCCCAUCUCAGUCCCUAGAGUAUAAUAAUCUCUUCAAAAGUGACCCACGGCCUUGUGGCAUUGGGCUGGGGCUGGGUUGAGCAAGGAGGCCUGCUGCCUGCAUGCUCCACCAGUUCCUCAUGGCCUGGGUAACACAUCCAGGAGAGCUGAGCCUCCAGAAAGUGUGUCCUCAGUGAGCUUUGGAACCACUGUUAGGCAGAUCAGGAAUAAGAGCAACAACAGUAAUAAUAAAGGGCGCUUAUGAUGUGCUAGGCAUUGGGCUAAAGGCUUUACUCUCAGAUCUCAGUCCUUACAAAAGCCUGGAGGCAGGGAUAUUAUCUCCUCUUACAAUGAGGAAAUUAGGGCUCAGAGAUGUUGAGUGGCUUGUCCAAGUUCACCCAGCUUGUAGAUGGUGACAUCAGGAUUCAGACAUUGAACUCUCUGACUCUAGUUUCCAAUUCCUUAUUCAUUUUGACACAGGAGCACACCCAUCCCAUAUCUGUUUCUUGGUGUGACAGAGGAGGAGGCCCAGGCACACGCAGAUUAAAUCACAGUCCCACGGUUACACAAUCAAUGAUUGGUGGAGAUUGGACUAGAACCC
rnacentral:lncRNA from 10 species